UUCUCCACCCCACAAACAAUCUUCUCCACCGUUGUCUCCCACGUCACUAACACACAAAACCCUAAUUUCUCUUUUCACCAUACGCAUCGUCGAUCCAGCAGUUCAUACACGUCUACAGCAAUGCUUCACAAAUGAUUCAAGUCCGCCAAAUGGUGAGCACUUGAUGGGAAAAGAGACAAUAUAAGAUUUUGGACAAAAUUGCUACUCACGUGUUCCUGAGCUGCUUAUAAGCGUAUGUGCAUACCAUAACGCAAGACGGAUGUUGUACAUAAACACAACCGAAACACUCGAAGAACGACACAAAUUCAAAAUCUAAAGAGGGAAAAUGUGGAUCGAAGAACGACAAAAAAUCAAGUUUUUAGGUGAUGGUGGAUCUUAAUACAAGGAGGUUAAAUUUACAAGUUGUAAAUAUUAAAGUUGACAGUAUAGGAGCACUGAAAGUUUAAUAUACCAUUAUUUUUGUCGAUGUUUGGAAUGUGAAUAACCAGGAGCCAAAUUUGAUAAAAAUGACGGGAAGCCUAAAGUUGGGGAUGCGGCAACUGAGCAACAAACGAGCUAAGACUCUCAAUUCAUAUAUAUGUUAGAGUCGAAGCGUGUUCAUUAAAAAAAGUUACAACGGGUCAUUUCCUAAUGCAAAAAUGGAAAACUAUUGCUCGACAUGUUUAAGAUCAAAACAUGUCAACGUUUUUUAUAUUUAUCUGGAUUAUAUUUGUAGUUCC
rnacentral:lncRNA from 1 species